UACGUAGGGCGCAAGCGUUGUCCGGAAUUAUUGGGCGUAAAGAGCUCGUAGGCGGUUUGUCGCGUCUGCUGUGAAAGUCCGAGGCUCAACCUCGGAUCUGCAGUGGGUACGGGCAGACUAGAGUGUGGUAGGGGAGACUGGAAUUCCUGGUGUAGCGGUGAAGUGCGUAGAUAUCGGAAGGAACACCUGUGGCGAAAGCGGCUCACUGGACCAUUACUGACGCUGAGGCACGAAAGCUAGGGGAGCAAACAGG
rnacentral:rRNA from 1 species